GGUCUUGGCCUGGUUUCAUCCGUCUUCCAGUUGCUCUUUUGAUUACAUCUCAAGAGUGGUUGGAAAGAUUGAUGUUAGCGGGGCAAAUGAACAUUCGGCGUAUGAGUGGUGAUUGGAUAGCUAGUAUUUGUAGGCUCUGUGCUCGCGCACCCAACUACAGACCAACUAUCCUCCUCAGUUUCUUCACUAGCAUAGUUUUAUGCUUGUUGAACUGAUCUGGAGCCUGUGUUGCGUACCUAUCUGUAAGGAAUUGUUAAGCUUUGCUUAAAAUGUUGUUUGCGGA
rnacentral:lncRNA from 1 species